rnacentral:rRNA from 1 species
CAGCCAUGCCGCGUGUGUGAAGAAGGCCUUUUGGUUGUAAAGCACUUUAAGCAGUGAAGAAGACCUAACGGUUAAUACCCGUUAGCGAUGACAUUAGCUGCAGAAUAAGCACCGGCUAACUCUGUGCCAGCAGCCGCGGUAAUACAGAGGGUGCAAGCGUUAAUCGGAAUUACUGGGCGUAAAGCGAGCGUAGGUGGCUUGAUAAGUCAGAUGUGAAAUCCCCGGGCUUAACCUGGGAACUGCAUCUGAUACUGUUAGGCUAGAAUAGGUGAGAGGAAGGUAGAAUUCCAGGUGUAGCGGUGAAAUGCGUAGAGAUCUGGAGGAAUACCGAUGGCGAAGGCAGCCUUCUGGCAUCAUAUUGACACUGAGGUUCGAAAGCGUGGGUAGCAAACAGGAUUAGAUACCCUGGUAGUCCACGCCGUAAACGAUGUCUACUAGUCGUUGGGUCCCUUGAGGACUUAGUGACGCAGCUAACGCAAUAAGUAGACCGCCUGGGGAGUACGGCCGCAAGGUUAAAACUCAAAUGAAUUGACGGGGGCCCGCACAAGCGGUGGAGCAUGUGGUUUAAUUCGAUGCAACGCGAAGAACCUUACCUGGUCUUGACAUAUCUAGAAUCCUGCAGAGAUGCGGGAGUGCCUUCGGGAAUUAGAAUACAGGUGCUGCAUGGCUGUCGUCAGCUCGUGUCGUGAGAUGUUGGGUUAAGUCCCGCAACGAGCGCAACCCUUGUCCUUAGUUACCAGCGGGUUAAGCCGGGAACUCUAAGGAUACUGCCAGUGACAAACUGGAGGAAGGCGGGGACGACGUCAAGUCAUCAUGGCCCUUACGACCAGGGCUACACACGUGCUACAAUGGUAGGUACAGAGGG